rnacentral:rRNA from 1 species
GACGAACGCUGGCGGCGUGCCUAAUACAUGCAAGUCGAACGCAGUGGGUCCGGGUGAGUGACACGUGGGUAACCUCCCCUCAGAGGGGGUAACACUUGGCAACAGGUGCUAAACCGAUACUGAUGGAUGAACCCGCGGUGCAUUAGCUAGUUGGUGAGGUACAGCCUCACCAAGGCCACGAUGCAUAGCGGACCUGAGAGGUUGACCGGCCACACUGGGACUGAGACACGGUCCAGACUCCUACGGGAGGCAGCAGUAGGGAAUAUUGCGCAAUGGACGCAAGUCUGAGCGAGCAAUGCCGCGUGAGUGAAGAAGGUUUUCGGAUUGUAAAACUCUGUUGGUAGAGAAGCGUUAUCUAACCAGAAAGCAACGGCUAACUACGUGCCAGCAGCCGCGGUAAUUC